AUCCUAUGAUAAACUAGCUCAGUAUGACUUACACAAUGAAAACUCGUGAACAACUGAGAAAC
rnacentral:snoRNA from 1 species